rnacentral:rRNA from 1 species
AGAGUUUGAUCCUGGCUCAGAUUGAACGCUGGCGGCAUGCCUUACACAUGCAAGUCGAACGGCAGCACGGGGAGCAACCCUGGUGGCGAGUGGCGAACGGGUGAGUAAUACAUCGGAACGUGUCCUGUAGUGGGGGAUAGCCCGGCGAAAGCCGGAUUAAUACCGCAUACGCUCUACGGAGGAAAGGGGGGGAUCUUAGGACCUCCCGCUACAGGGGCGGCCGAUGGCAGAUUAGCUAGUUGGUGGGGUAAAGGCCUACCAAGGCGACGAUCUGUAGCUGGUCUGAGAGGACGACCAGCCACACUGGGACUGAGACACGGCCCAGACUCCUACGGGAGGCAGCAGUGGGGAAUUUUGGACAAUGGGGGAAACCCUGAUCCAGCAAUGCCGCGUGUGUGAAGAAGGCCUUCGGGUUGUAAAGCACUUUUGUCCGGAAAGAAAACCUCUGGGUUAAUACCCCGGGGGGAUGACGGUACCGGAAGAAUAAGCACCGGCUAACUACGUGCCAGCAGCCGCGGUAAUACGUAGGGUGCAAGCGUUAAUCGGAAUUACUGGGCGUAAAGCGUGCGCAGGCGGUCCGCUAAGACAGAUGUGAAAUCCCCGGGCUUAACCUGGGAACUGCAUUUGUGACUGGCGGGCUAGAGUAUGGCAGAGGGGGGUAGAAUUCCACGUGUAGCAGUGAAAUGCGUAGAGAUGUGGAGGAAUACCGAUGGCGAAGGCAGCCCCCUGGGCCAAUACUGACGCUCAUGCACGAAAGCGUGGGGAGCAAACAGGAUUAGAUACCCUGGUAGUCCACGCCCUAAACGAUGUCAACUAGUUGUCGGGUCUUCAUUGACUUGGUAACGUAGCUAACGCGUGAAGUUGACCGCCUGGGGAGUACGGUCGCAAGAUUAAAACUCAAAGGAAUUGACGG